GAUGAACGCUGGCGGCGUGCCUAACACAUGCAAGUCGAACGGAAAGACCCUGCGCUUGUGGGGUGCUCGAUAGGCGAACGGGUGAGUAAAACGCGAGUAUCCUGCCCUUGUAUUUCGGAUAACUUCACGAAAAAGGGGCUAAUACACGAUAGGAGCUACUGCACCGUGGGGGGGGUUGGAGAGUUUCGGCGGUGGUGGCAUGACUGGCGGGUUAUCGGCUUGUUGGUGGGGUAGUGGAUUACCCAGGCUUUGACGGGUACGCGGCCUCUGAGGGUGACCGGCCACAUUGGCACUGAGGUACGGCCGCGACUCCUACGGGAGCCAGCAGGGGGGAAUAUUGCACAAUCGGCGGAAGCCUGGUGCUGCAGCGCCGCGUGCGGUAUGACGGCCUUCUGGGUGUAAACCGCUUGCGCCUGUGACGAAGCGUGAGUGACGGUAAUGGGUAAAGAAGCACCGGCUAACUUCGUG
rnacentral:rRNA from 1 species